UCGAGAAUCUUUCGCAAUGCCCGAAAGGGUGACGAAGCGACGCCGCGUGUGGGAUGAAGGCCUUCGGGUUGUAAACCACUGUCGGGAGUUAAGAAUUGUAGGAAUGCUAAUAGUAUUUCUACUUGACUAAGGCUCCGGAGGAAGCCACGGCUAACUCUGUGCCAGCAGCCGCGGUAAUACAGAGGCGGCAAGCGUUGUUCGGAAUUAUUGGGCGUAAAGAGCAUGUAGGCGGCUAUGUAAGUCGGUUGUGAAAGCCUUCCGCUUAACGGAAGAAUGGCGGUCGAAACUGCAUGGCUUGAGUGCGGGAGGGGAGAGUGGAACUUCUGGUGGAGCGGUGAAAUGCGUAGAUAUCAGAAGGAACGUCGGCGGCGAAAGCGACUCUCUAGACCGUAACUGACGCUGCGUGCGCGAAAGCUAGGGGAGCAAACGGGAUUAGAUACCCCGGUAGUCCUAGCCGUAAACGAUGGG
rnacentral:rRNA from 1 species